GCCCCAUUAGUCGGGCGACGAUUCUCGGGGAACGGCACUGCCUCUCGUCGGAUCUCUCCGAAGGCGACGUUGAUCCGGUGACUUUUCUUCAUUCACCAAUGCACAUAUUACUCUUUCCCUCUCUAUUCCUUCUAUCUCCUCCCCUACUAAACUUAGAAUGAGAUAACAUUCCUGACAAAAAUCAGAACUUCAAAAUAAUAAGAAAGGAAAGAAGGAUGGAGACCAAGAAGCUGGGCUCCAAGGCUGAAAUCUUCUUCCAUAUCCAGCCCUUAAUAGAAUUUCUGAUUCAUGCAAUGGAGUUGCAACAUUCUUCUCUGCUAGUAUUAGGAAUAAACAUUUUACUACUUGAAUACAAUACUCUCUUCUUCUUUUUUUUUGGAGAAAGGAAUUAGGGCAAGCGUAACCCAGUUCUUGAAUACAGUACUUCAUUUGUGCAUUUCUUUUACAGCAAGAUACUUGCAAUUCUAAGGAUUUUUUGAUGAUGGUCACAUCUCUAUAUGAAUGCAUUACUACAUUAUAAGGUUAGAAGGGCAUUCUCCUAGUAGCAUUUUUGCCACAGGGAAAAUUUAGGGUGUUUUUGAACUAAUGUUUAAGGUCAUCUGACAGAAGGCUAGAGAAUUAGGCGAAUGGAGAGUCCUCUAUAAAUUUCCAAGGAGGAUUAGAGGAUAAGCAGAGAUAGAGCAAAUAUUCUUGCACAGUUUUGACAAACAUUCAAUUGGAUCAGUCUCAAGUUCAAGGACAAGCAUUCAAUUGGGUCUUCUUAAAUAGAUUCACGGGAAUUGAGGUUGCACUUUAAUUCGGGAAUUAUUCUAGAUACAUAAUUGUACUCAAAAUAAGAGUUGACAAUAAGAAAAUAUGUUGAAGUUAUUCUACUAAAGACGUGGAAACCUAGCUAAAAUUUAAUAUUGUCCGCAAUAGAAAAUUCAUAAAAAAAGUCUAUUCCGUUUGCUCAUAUGAUCCACUCAUAGAAUAGAAAUAAAUCAAAUAUUUGCUUAUUGAGGUUUUUGCCUAUGAAUCCACUGAUUCGUGUGGUGCUUGAUAUAAUCUAGUUGGUCAUGGUACCUAUUGGCUAUACCCUAAUGUUGUGUCAGUUUUAGUGACGACAUAAUAUAUCGUUAUGUAAGACAAACUUUUAAUGAUCACUCAAUAAACUCGUUAUUACUGGUAUAUAUCCAUAACAAUUUUAAAAUGUCGCCGCUAAAGAUAUACUUUCAAGUGGUGAAUCAUAAAAUCAUCAUUAGUGUACUAGCCAACAUCAAUUUUGGUGCAAAAAAUUAUGACAAUAUACUAUAUUGUUGCUAAAGAUAGAUUUUAGUGACUACUUUAUCAGCUCGUCAUUAAGAGUUAUAUACCUAUGGUGAUUAUUUUAAAAAAUUAUCACUAAAAACAUAAUUUUUUUUAAAAUGAAGCAUAAAAUCAUCGAUAGUACGUUGACCAACAUUGAUUUUGGAACCAAAAUUGUGAAAAUAUAAUGUAUCGUUACUAGAGACAGAUUUUUAAUAACCACUUUAUAAGUUUUCCAUUAAAAGAUAGAGACCAUUUUAAAAUAUCAUUACUAAAAAUAUAAGUUUUAAUGAUGAAGUAUAAAAUCAUCGUUAGUGAGUUGACUAAAAUCAUUUUAGCGCCAAGAUUAUAAUUCCAUCUAGUGACAAUUUCUUUGUAACAAAUUGGAAAAUAGUCACAAGUGAUCAACAUUUUGUGACGAUAUCUCAUUUCAUCAUUAACGAUAUUGACCAAAAUGAUUUAGUAUGACUACUCAUUUUCAUUGCUAAAUAUGAAGCUUCUAGUGAUCAGACUUACAUUUCGUCACUAAAAGUUUGCCACUAAAAAUCUGAAUUUCUAUAAUAUGUUUAUAAGUGAGGUAAUCUAACACAACACAUUGCCAACUCAAUUUUAUAUACGGGUGUAUAUGGCCCAGGUCGGACCGAGCUAUGAGUGACACCGACCCAAUUCAGUUCCUUAUUCGGGUUCUAAUGUUGGACUUAAACCCAACCAAAUAAAAGAUCGGGUCGAAUUGGGUCUAGUUCACGACUAAAAUUUCUAACCUAGCGGAUCGUUCGGGUCAGGUCGGGUCUAUGUAUAACCCGAUCCUAACCCAAAAAUUUUAAAUCUAGGUCGAGUCCGGGUUAGGUCUGGGUUUGGGUCGGAUCCCUGUAUUUAUCAUUCCCUAUCCUUAGUUUUUUUUAAAAGUCAGUGAACCACAGAAAACAGGUUAUGCAAGGCCAUACAAGUGAAAGUACCUAAGCAUCAAGGAUUGAUGCCAUUAAAAACUAACCUAAAAAUGAUAAGCCCAACCUAAUUAGCUACAAAAAAAAUUCUGUUCAUGUAUGCAAUACUUUGUUUUUGAGUAGAAAAGAAUUGCAUCUAUACUAAUCCUUUUUACUUAGCAGUGAUAUCUCCUAAAUUUGGUGGAAUAUAUUUACUAGUAUUUUUUCUAAAUAUACUAUUAGAAAAGCAUGCAUGGGCCAAGAUGAGGAAUAUAGUUUUGAUGAUGAUACAUGACAAGGUUUAACAGCUACAAAUGACUCAUCAUGAACCCAUCUUCUUCUACAUGAAAAAUUUAUACUCUAUUUUGCCUUCAUUAGUCUAAACUUUCUUCUUAGAGAAACAUUGUUCUUAUUUAAUAUAACCAACCUAAGUCUUAAUAUAAAAUCUAUGUCAUUCGGCAGCAGUCUCUUCCAUUCCUCUCAUCCUCAAACACAAAAAAAGAUUACAGGAAUAGAGAGUUAGAAUCCUUAAGCACCCCUGCGGGCCCUAAUUGUGUAUCGGGUUUGGGUCGGGUUGUAGGGUAGAUAAUUCAAAAUUGCUCAAAAAAUCAAACGGGUCGGGUCGGGUCGGGUCGGAAUUUAGUAAAUCCAGAUCCGAUCUGAAAAAUGGAAUGGAUUUAAUUUUAGAACCCGACCCGGCCCUGUGGGUCAUUUAAAUCAGGUCGGAUUGGGUCUAAAGAGUUAGGUCGGAAUGCGUAACGGAUCAAUUAGACCCAUUUGCAAUCUUAAUUUUAUAGUUUGUUGGAAAGUAUAAUUUCUGUCAAGUUGGAGAUUGAUGGGUCCACUAAAAAUGUUGGCCUUUGAUUGAAUAACUGUUGGUCAAUCUCUAAUUUCAGAAUGGAAAAGCAAGAUAUAUAUAGAAGAAAGUAAAGUUAUGCCUCAACGUUUCUUUAUUUUUAUGUGUAACAGCAUCUCCACCUAAGAUAUAUAUAAAAGAAAGUUAUGCCCAACUUUUUUUUUUUAGAUGUGGAACGGCAUCUCUCCGCCUUUACGAUUCCCAACAGUCGCCAUUAUUGAUUAGUUAUGCUUGAAGCCCCUUCUAUGGAAGGGCACCGCUCGAACUCGCCGUGGAGAGAUCCCGUCCGCUUCGGCGGCUCCGGGGAGAAGUCCCGGGCGUCGAAGAAGCUCCUCCGCUGGAGUGGCGGAAGGGGAGUUCUCGGCGGCGCGUCGAGCUUCGCCUCUCGAGGCCAAAACUCCUUGAAAUCCGGCCGGAAGAACUCCUUGCCGGAGAUCGCGGAGUCCGGUGGCCCUCUUGGGAGAUCGCCCCAACUCCGACACCCCGCCGCCGCCUCCGGCGUCCGGAAGCACCUCUAGCCCCAUUAGUCGGGCGACGAUUCUCGGGGAACGGCACUGCCUCUCGUCGGAUCUCUCCGAAGGCGACGUUGAUCGGAGAAUCAGCCUUGGUGUCCGGCAAACCUGCCACCGCCGGAGAAGUAUCACCCUACCCCGUUCCCCGAGUUCUCUCGGAGACAAACUCCACCUCCCCUCCUCUAGGCUUCGAAGGCUACCACCUUGCCAUCGCCCUGAGCCUCGCCGCUGCCCACCGGUGGACUCCUUACGACUCCUUCAUGUCAGGACUAGAGUUGAUCAUGGAUUUUGCUUCGGGCCUAGACUCUAUUCAUUUUUAAUCGGGCUGCGGGCUGGGCUUAUAUAAAAUUUGAUAUUUUCUAUACCCAAGCCCGAUCCAUGAUCAGCUAUGUUUGGGACCUUAUGCAUUUCAACUUCCUAAGAGUCCAUGUUGCGCUCGUUCGCAUGGCAAUCGCUGAGCUCUCUGACUCGACAUCAUGUGCCCUUCGUCACCUGCCACCGGUUCCUGAACGACGGGAUCUAUGUCUGCAUCAACCAGGUGGUGGUGAGCUUUCUGGUGCUAAGAUUGAGCGAGGCACUGGUGAUGCAUUGGAAAAAUGGGAAGGAAUACUAAGAUGCCAUUCGAGAUACAAUGAAUGUGGCGAUGAGAGACGAUGUCACCUCGCCGCCGGUGAUGUGUGAUCGGAACAUUUUCAAGUCAGUGUUCCAGUUGCAGGAUAGGGUGAGUGAUUGGAGAAGGUCUUGGAGUUGUUCUGCUAAGUGGAGGAUUCCUCUAUGCCUUCUUUUUUUCCAUUUUCUUUGCUGGUGAUAUAUUGUAUUUUCGGUAGUCGUGUUGCAGCUUUUGCUCGUCUGGGGUAAUGGAGAAUCUUACAUCAAACUUUUCCUUUUUCACA
rnacentral:lncRNA from 1 species